UACGUAGGGGGCAAGCGUUGUCCGGAAUCAUUGGGCGUAAAGCGCGUGUAGGCGGACUGGAAGGUCUGGUGUGAAAGCCCGGGGCUCAACCCCGGAGGGUCACUGGAAACCGACAGUCUCGAGUCCGGAAGAGGAGAGUGGAAUUCCUGGUGUAGCGGUGGAAUGCGCAGAUAUCGGGAGGAACACCGGUGGCGAAGGCGGUUCUCUGGGCCUGUACUGACGCUGAGGAGCGAAAGCGUGGGGAGCGAACAGG
rnacentral:rRNA from 1 species